AUUAAUAAUGACAAUAAAGGGCAGUAAUUCUGCCUUCCGAUUGCUGAUUCGUGGCAAGACAGACAGGCGCAGGGCGGUCGUUCCCCAUCCUGCGAAUCCACAAGCCACUCAUCAAUCUUCGGGGUAGCGAACGCUACCCCUUUUUUACCGGAGU
rfam:Dickeya dadantii 3937, complete genome.